rnacentral:rRNA from 1 species
CCUACGGGAGGCAGCAGUGGGGAAUAUUGCGCAAUGGGCGAAAGCCUGACGCAGCGACGCCGCGUGAGGGAUGAAGGUCUUCGGAUCGUAAACCUCUGUCAGCAGGGAAGAACGGUCACUGUGCUAAUCAGCAGUGAAUUGACGGUACCUGCAAAGGAAGCACCGGCUAACUCCGUGCCAGCAGCCGCGGUAAUACGGAGGGUGCGAGCGUUAAUCGGAAUUACUGGGCAUAAAGCGCUCGUAGGCGGUAUGUCAAGUCAAGGGUGAAAUCCCCGCGCUCAACGUGGGAACGGACUUCGAAACUGGCAAACUUGAGUGUGUGAGAGGAUAGUGGAAUUCCAGGUGUAGGAGUGAAAUCCGUAGAUAUCUGGAGGAACAUCAGUGGCGAAGGCGACUAUCUGGCACAUAACUGACGCUGAGGAGCGAAAGCGUGGGUAGCAAACAGGAUUAGAUACCCGGGUAGUC